GUGUUCACUUUGAUAACACAUAUACUAAAAUUAAAAUGAUGCAGAGAGGAUUGGCAUGGCUCCUGCACAUGGAUAAAAUACUAGAGCUUCUUCCUAGCAUG
ensembl:snRNA U6 U6 spliceosomal RNA